UCCGUACCCACCUCUGCACGUGGUUGCAGAAA
rnacentral:piRNA from 1 species